rnacentral:rRNA from 1 species
GUAGGGGGCAAGCGUUGUCCGGAUUUAUUGGGCGUAAAGAGCGUGUAGGCGGCCAUACAGGUCCGUUGUGAAAACUGGAGGCUUAACCUCCAGACGUCGAUGGAAACCGUAUGGCUAGAGUCCGGAAGAGGAGAGUGGAAUUCCUGGUGUAGCGGUGAAAUGCGCAGAUAUCAGGAAGAACACCCGUGGCGAAGGCGGCUCUCUGGGACGGUACUGACGCUGAGACGCGAAAGCGUGGGGAGCGAACAGGAUUAGAUACCCUGGUAGUCCACGCCGUAAACGAUGGGUGCUAGGUGUGGGGGGUGUCGACUCCCUCCGUGCCGCAGCUAACGCAUUAAGCACCCCGCCUGGGGAGUACGGCCGCAAGGCUA